GUCUAGGCGGUUUUUUAAGUCUGGAGUGAAAGGCGACGGCUCAACCGUCGACGCGCUUCGGAAACUGGGGGACUUGAGGGCAGGAGAGGCGAGCGGAAUUCCCGGUGUAGCGGUGAAAUGCGUAGAGAUCGGGAAGAACACCAGUGGCGAAGGCGGCUCGCUGGACUGGCCCUGACGCUGACGCGCGAAAGCGUGGGGAGCGAACGGGAUUAGAUACCCCGGUAGUCCACGCCGUAAACGAUGGGCACUAGGUGUGGGAGGUAUCGACCCCUCCCGUGCCGGAGUUAACACACUAAGUGCCCCGCCUGGGGAGUACGGCCGCAAGGUUGAAACUCAAAGGAAUUGACGGGGGCCCGCACAAGCAGUGGAGCAUGUGGUUUAAUUCGACGCAACGCGAAGAACCUUACCCGGGCUUGACAUCCCCGGAACACCCGAGAGAUCGGGUGGCUCUACGGAGCCGGGAGACAGGUGCUGCAUGGUUGUCGUCAGCUCGUGUCGUGAGAUGUUGGGUUAAGUCCCGCAACGAGCGCAACCCUUGUCCCGUGUUACCAGCGUAAAGGCGGGGACUCACGGGAGACUGCCGGUGACAAACCGGAGGAAGGUGGGGAUGACGUCAAAUCAUCAUGGCCCUUAUGUCCGGGGCUACACACGUGCUACAAUGGCCGGCACAGCGGGAUGCGAAGGGGCGACCCGGAGCGAAUUCCUGAAAGCCGGUCCCAGUUCGGAUCGCAGGCU
rnacentral:rRNA from 1 species